GGAACGCGUAUCACACCGCAUCCUCCCUUCCACAGAGUUCCCUGGCGUCUUUCUUGCCUCUCCUUGCAGGCUGCUUCAGGUUAACUACGUCAGGAUGAGUGUGUCCCACUUACGCUGCUUGAGAGGUCACGAAGCAAGAGCUUUAGCAUCCUGGUGGAGAAGACAUUUUGUUCUGGAUGUCAUCAUCUCCUUCCACUAUGGCUCGCAGUAGGAACAAGCUUUGCAUCCUGGGGGUGCUGCCUAACCCUCUCUUGAUUUCUGUCUAUCUCUUCCAUUGACAGGAAUGCUGCUUAUAUGCUUCAUGCAGCAGUUUGCAGAAAACCAGCAAGGUUUAUGGUUUCUGUUGCCCAGCGUGUAUAAAUACAACACUCUCAAAUGUUUAAAGAAAAAAAAAAUCAUAUGAAUUUCUUAAAUUUCUCAACAUUCUGGUGCCCCCACCUGACCCCAAUUCUCACACACAAGUACACUGUUCCCUGAUACAAUCACACCAUAGUUGUGGCUGGGAUUGUAGGUUAACAACCUAGACCCAAGAAGGGCCUGGCAUUUUCACAGCAGGCUUUCCCCGCCUAAUGCUUUGAGUCUUUCGCCCUCUAGUAUGGGAGUGGAGUGAUUAGCAGUUGUUUCAGAAAGUCUGUGAAUUCUCAAUAGUCAUAUUUCCACGGUUGAAGAUCUACCUCUUUGGGAUGUGGUAGGUUUCAGAAACGUUGAUGUUGGGAGUUUUACAGAUAUUUCCAAGUUCCAGGAGUUUGAAAUUUGGGUCAAGAUCCUAAUUCCCUUCAAUGUGUAAGGGUGAAUGAGGUUUUAUUUUGCUUUAUUUUUCUAGA